UAUUGGUCAAUGGACGAGAGUCUGAACCAGCCAAGUAGCGUGAAGGAUGACUGCCCUAUGGGNUGUAAACUUCUUUUAUAUGGGANNCCNNNANGGUAUGCAUACCCUCUUGUAUGUACCAUAUGAAUAANNNUNGNCUAACUCCGUGCCAGCAGCCGCGGUAAUACGGGGGAUGCAAGCGUUAUCCGGAUUUAUUGGGUUUAAAGGGUGCGUAGGCUGUGAGGUAAGUCAGCGGUGAAAUGCCCCCGCUCAACGGGGUGAAGUGCCAUUGAUACUGCCUUGCUGGAAUGCGGAUGCCGUGGGAGGAAUGUGUGGUGUAGCGGUGAAAUGCAUAGAUAUCACACAGAACACCGAUUGCGAAGGCAUCUCACGAAUCCGCGAUUGACGCUGAUGCACGAAAGCGUGGGUAUCAAAC
rnacentral:rRNA from 1 species